UCCAAUGGGGCGGCGCCACUCCACAUAAUGGCCCCGUUCACAUUCAAGAAGGAGGAAGUCAUCCCGCAGGCCCGCGGUGCGGCAGUGUGGAGACCUGUCGUAAUGCGGUUCGCUUUCAGGAAGCGACGCGAGAUCGCCCAUGCGGAGGCAGGGCGAUCAGGGCAUACGCUAUGUCU
rnacentral:ncRNA from 1 species